CUUCGACGAUCGACCCAUCAAUAUUCAGUUUUACGCUGCCUCUCUCUGGAGGGAUCCACGAGAUCGGUGAGUUCCCCUGUCGCGUUUCUCGGUUGUUCACUAGAGGGCUCCAACGCUUAAAGUUUUUGUCUAUGGUGCAUGCUUCGUCUACUAUUGAGCUCGGGUCUGGAUGGCGAUUUUGAAAGACGGCUCUGUUUCGGGCCAGCCAAAUUUUCCACAAUACCCCAGUGACCAGCUCCGAUGAAGGCAACAAGAAAAGGUGUUCCACAGACUCGGGGGCUUGCUGACAGACUGGGCAAAGAGGAUCAGGCGUUAUCGUUCUCUUACACAGGUUCUCUCGAGUUGGUAAGCUAUUCUGACACACACUCCAAAUGAAAAACUUGAUUUUUGGCAUAGUGUUGAGGUUCCAGAUUUUUUGCCAUAGGGAUUUGGGGAUUUGGUAUGAGGAGGAAGCCUGGUUGUGAUUUUGCUGGA